rnacentral:rRNA from 1 species
AGCGAACGCUGGCGGCAGGCCUAACACAUGCAAGUCGAACGAACCUUUCGGGGUUAGUGGCGGACGGGUGAGUAACACGUGGGAACGUGCCUUUAGGUUCGGAAUAACUCAGGGAAACUUGUGCUAAUACCGAAUGUGCCCUUCGGGGGAAAGAUUUAUCGCCUUUAGAGCGGCCCGCGUCUGAUUAGCUAGUUGGUUGAGGUAAUGGCUCACCAAGGCGACGAUCAGUAGCUGGUCUGAGAGGAUGAUCAGCCACAUUGGGACUGAGACACGGCCCAAACUACUACGGGAGGCAGCAGUGGGGACUCUUGCGCAAUGGGCGAAAGCCUGACGCAGCCAUGCCGCGUGAAUGAUGAAGGUCUUAGGAUUGUAAAAUUCUUUCAACGGGGACGAUAAUGACGGUACCCGGAGAAGAAGCACCGGCUAACUUCGUG